rnacentral:rRNA from 1 species
CCAGAGGGGGACAACAGUUGGAAACGACUGCUAAUACCGCAUACGAUCUAAUCUCGGCAUCGAGGAUAGAUGAAAGGUGGCCUCUACAUGUAAGCUAUCAAUGAAGGAGGGGAUUGCGUCUGAUUAGCUAGUUGGAGGGGUAACGGCCCACCAAGGCGAUGAUCAGUAGCCGGUCUGAGAGGAUGAACGGCCACAUUGGGACUGAGACACGGCCCAG